GAUGAAGAACGUAGCGAAAUGCGAUACGUAAUGUGAAUUGCAAAUUCAGUGAAUCAUCGAGUCUUUGAACGCACAUUGCGCCCCCUGGUAUUCCGGGGGGCAUGCCUGUCCGAGCGUCAUUGCUGCCCUCAAGCACGGCUUGUGUGUUGGGCCCCGUCCUCCGAUCCCGGGGGACGGGCCCGAAAGGCAGCGGCGGCACCGCGUCCGGUCCUCGAGCGUAUGGGGCUUUGUCACCCGCUCUGUAGGCCCGGCCGGCGCUUGCCGAUCGACCCAAAUUUUUAUCCAGGUUGACCUCGGAUCAGGUAGGGAUACCCGCUGAACUUAAGCAUAUCAAUAAGCGGAGGA
rnacentral:misc_RNA from 1 species